rnacentral:rRNA from 1 species
UACAGAGGUGGCAAGCGUUGUUCGGAAUUACUGGGCGUAAAGGGCGCGUAGGCGGUCUUGCAAGUCCCGUGUGAAAUCCCUCGGCUCAACUGAGGAAUGGCACGGGAAACUGCUUGGCUUGAGUUCGGGAGAGGGAAGCGGAAUUCCGGGUGUAGCGGUGAAAUGCGUAGAUAUCCGGAGGAACACCGGUGGCGAAGGCGGCUUCCUGGACCGACACUGACGCUGAGGCGCGAAAGCUAGGGGAGCAAAGCGGGAUUGAGAAACCCUUGG